AUCAAUCCGAUUCAAGCCCAUCAGCUUCUCCAUCUCCUCCAUCAAUUAUGAAGUCUCCUUCCCGAAAGAAUCAUCCUUCAUCCAAGCAGCACAGGUCGCACACCCACAAAUCAUCACAUAGCUCCAAACACAAGAGGUCACGAGUAUAUGUCUCUGCCAUAAAUGACAAAGAGUCUAUAUACUAUUUAAAUUCAGGUGAUCAUCCAGGAGCUCUCAUGGUGGCUGACAAGCUAAAGGGUGAAGCCAAUUACCAAAGUUGGGCUAAUGCUAUGAAGCUUUCCUUGAUUUCCAGAAGAAAAAUAGCAUUUAUAAAUGGAAAAGUCAAAAGACCAGAGGAUAGGUCAGGGAAGGAAUUUGAAGCAUGGGAAACAGUGAAU
rnacentral:lncRNA from 1 species